GAGUUUGAUCUGGCUCAGAGUGAACGCUGGCGGCAGGCCUAAUACAUGCAAGUCGAACGGCAGCACAGCAGAGCUUGCUCUGUGGGUGGCGAGUGGCGGACGGGUGAGGAAUACGUGGGAAUCUGCCCAGUCGUGGGGGAUAACGUAGGGAAACUUACGCUAAUACCGCAUGCGCCCUUCGGGGGAAAGCCGGGGACCUUCGGGCCUGGCGCGAUUGGAUGAGCCCACGUCGGAUUAGCUAGUUGGCGGGGUAAAGGCCCACCAAGGCGACGAUCCGUAGCUGGUCUGAGAGGAUGAUCAGCCACACUGGAACUGAGACACGGUCCAGACUCCUACGGGAGGCAGCAGUAGGGAAUAUUGGACAAUGGGCGCAAGCCUGAUCCAGCCAUGCCGCGUGAGUGAAGAAGGCCCUCGGGUUGUAAAGCUCUUUUGUCCGGAAAGAAAGGCGCCGGGUUAAUACCCUGGUGUCCUGACGGUACCGGAAGAAUAAGCACCGGCUAACUUCGUG
rnacentral:rRNA from 1 species